rnacentral:rRNA from 1 species
GGGCGCAGCCUGAUCCAGCAUGCCGCGUGCAGGAAGAAGGCCUUCGGGUUGUAAACUGCUUUUGUACGGAGCGAAAAGGCUCUCUCUAAUACAGGGGGUUCAUGACGGUACCGUAAGAAUAAGCACCGGCUAACUACGUGCCAGCAGCCGCGGUAAUACGUAGGGUGCGAGCGUUAAUCGGAAUUACUGGGCGUAAAGCGUGCGCAGGCGGUUUUGUAAGACAGGCGUGAAAUCCCCGGGCUCAACCUGGGAAUGGCGCUUGUGACUGCAAAGCUGGAGUGCGGCAGAGGGGGAUGGAAUUCCGCGUGUAGCAGUGAAAUGCGUAGAUAUGCGGAGGAACACCGAUGGCGAAGGCAAUCCCCUGGGCCUGCACUGACGCUCAUGCACGAAAGCGUGGGGAGCAAACAGGAUUAGAUACCCUGGUAGUCCACGCCCUAAACGAUGUCAACUGGUUGUUGGGUAUUUACUUACUCAGUAACGAAGCUAACGCGUGAAGUUGACCGCCUGGGGAGUACGGCCGCAAGGUUGAAACUCAAAKGAAUUGACGG